rnacentral:rRNA from 1 species
GAUGAACGCUGGCGGCGUGCCUAAUACAUGCAAGUCGAACGAAACUUCUUUAUCACCGAGUGCUUGCACUCACCGAUAAAGAGUUGAGUGGCGAACGGGUGAGUAACACGUGGGCAACCUGCCCAAAAGAGGGGGAUAACACUUGGAAACAGGUGCUAAUACCGCAUAACCAUAGUUACCGCAUGGUAACUAUGUAAAAGGUGGCUAUACUACCGCUUUUGGAUGGGCCCGCGGCGCAUUAGCUAGUUGGUAGGGUAAAGGCUUACCAAGGCAAUGAUGCGUAGCCGAAUUGAGAGGUUGAUCGGCCACAUUGGGACUGAGACACGGCCCAAACUCCUACGGGAGGCAGCAGUAGGGAAUCUUCCACAAUGGGCGAAAGCCUGGUGGAGCAACGCCGCGUGGGUGAAGAAGGUCUUCGGAUCGUAAAACCCUGUUGUUAGAGAAGAAAGUGCGUGAGAGUAACUGUUCACGUUUCGACGGUAUCUAACCAGAAAGCCACGGCUAACUACGUG